ensembl:lncRNA
GGUGUAUUUUCUUGCUUAAUUAGCAUCUUAAAAAGGCUUUGGCUGCCGGCACCCUCUUUGUUAUUCAUCGAGCUCCUUUUAGUGCCUGCCGUCACCUGCUGGCUUUUCUGUGGUAUCGCUGGUCCUCCCUUGGUGUGCUCCACGCUCACAGCCAAGACAUCUUGGUGAGCCAGAUGGGGAAUUCGGUCUCAGAUGUCUUUGAGGGUCUUUACAUCCGGGCAGAAUUGUCAUCGUUUUCCUUGGCUCCCGGGAGAAGACAGCUUUCCAGGCUUUGAACUGGAAUUGGAAAUGGAGGGUUCUGUCCCCUGUGUCUGUGGCCUUGGGCAGGGCUCUUGUCCUCUGUGUCACUUCAGAAUGGGAGAACGCCACCUGUGCUGUGGGCCUCACUAAGCUACAAGGAUUGAAGGAAAUACAGCUGAAGGGAAAGCACUUCUGGGAGGGUACAGCACAGUGCGGAUGGAGUGAUUUUGCCCGUUUGUCAGGGAACAGUGCGUUGUCAUCAUAAACGUGGUGUGGUACCUCGUUGAAAAUACCAACCGUACAGAAAAAUCUACAAAAUUUAAAGCAAAAAGACCUUCCCUUUCUUCCCCCACUGCUCCUGUCUAAGCCCUUUCCCAAAGACAGGGAAUACUGUUAACCAUUUAUCCUGUAUCCUUCUGAUCAUUCUAAUGUAUUAAUACUUCCAGACAUUCCCUAUCAUGUAUUGCC